AAGUUUGGUUAGUGUUUCGGAGUCAAAUAUGACUUGAUGUCAUGUAUAUGAUUGAUUAUAACAACUAGAACUGUAACCGGAUCUUAAAAGCGUAAGUAGGGUUUUCUUGUUAGUAGAUACAAAGACAAAGACUCAUACGGAGUUUAGCUACACCAUAAAAGCUUUGAGAAGCAAGAAUAAGCUUGGUUAGUGUUUUGGAGUCAAAUAUGACUAGAUGUCAUGUGUAUGAGUGAGUAUAACAAGUAGAACCGCAACCUGAUCUUAAAAGCCUAUGUAUGGUACCCUUGUUAGAAGAUACAAAGACAAAGACUCAUACGGAAUUCGACUACACCAUCAAUGUUUUGAGAAGCAAGAAGAAGCUUGGUUAGUGUUUUGGAGUCAAAUAUAAAUUGAUGUCAUGUGUAUGAUUGAGUAUAAGAACUUAAACCGCAACCGGAUCUUAAAAGCCUAAGUAGUGUUUUCUUGUUAGUAGAUACAAAGACAAAGACUCAUACGGACUUCAGCUACACCAUCAAAGCUUUGAGAAAGAAGAAGCGGCUUGGUUAGUGUUUUGGAGUCAAAUAUCACUAGAUGUCAUGUGUAUGAGUGAGUAUAAAAACUAGAACCGCAACCUGAUCUUAGAAUCCUAAGUAUUGUAUCCUUGUUAGAAGAUACAAAGGCAAAGACUCAUACGGACUUCGGCUACAACAUCAAAUCUUUGAGAAGCAAGAAGAAGCCUGGUUAGUGUUUUCGAGUCGAAUAUGACUUGAUGUGAUGUGUAUGAUUGAGUAUAAGAAUAUGAACCGCACGCAGAUCUUAAAAGCCUAAGUAGUGUUUCCUUUUUAGAAGAUACAAAGCCAAAGACUUAUACGGAGUUUGGCUACACCAUCAAAGCUUUGAGAAGCAAGAUGAAGCAUGGUUAGUGUUUUGGAGUCAAAUAUGACUUGAUGUCAUGUGUAUGAGUGAGUAUAACAACUAGAACCGCAAUCGGAUCUUAAAAGCCUAAGUAUUGUGUCCUUGUUAGAAGAUACAAAGACAAAGACUCAUCCGGACUUUGGCUACACCAUCAAAGCUUUGAGAAGCAAGAAGAAGCUUGGUUAGUGUUUUGUAGUCAAAUAUGACUUGAUUUUAUGUUUAUGAUUGAGUAUAAGAACUUAAACAGCAACCUGAUCUUAAAAGCCUAAGUAGUGUUUCCUUGUUAGUAGAUACAAAGACAACGACACAAUCUGACUUCAGCUACACCAUCAAAGCUUUGAGAAGCAAGAAGAGGCUUGGUUAGUGUUUUGGAGUCAAAUAUGACUAAAUGUCAUGUGUAUGAGUGAGUAUAACAACUAGAACCGCAACCGCAUCUUAAAAGCCUAAGUAUUAUAUCCUUGUUAGAUUAUACAAUACAAAGACUCAUAUGGCCUUCAGCUACACCAUCAAAACUUUGAGAAGCAAGAACAAACAUUGUUAGUGUUUUGGAGUUAAAUAUGACUAGAUAUCAUGUGUAUGAGUGAGUAUAACAACUAGAAUCUCAACCAGAUCUUAAAAGCCUAAGUAUUGUAUCCUUGUUAGAAGAUACAAAGACAAAACUCAUACGGACUUCCGCUACACAAUCAAAGCUUUGAGAAUCAAAAAGAAGCUUGGUUAGUGUUUUGGGGUCGAAUAUGACUUGAUGUGAUGUGUUUGAUUGAGUAUAAGAACUUAAACCGCAACCGGAUCUUAAAAGUCUAAGUAGUGUUUCCGUGUUCGAAGAUACAAAGCCAAAGCAUCAUACGU
rnacentral:sRNA from 1 species